CCUACGGGAGGCAGCAGUGGGGAAUGUUGGACAAUGGGGGAAACCCUGAUCCAGCGACGCCGCGUGAGUGAAGAAGGAUUUCGGUACGUAAAGCUCUAUCAGCAGGAAAGAAAAUGACGGUACCUGACGAAGAAGCCCCGGCUAACUACGGGACAGCAGCCGCGGUAAUACGGAGGGGGCAAGCGUUCUCCGGAUUUACUGGGGGUAAAGGGAGCGUAGACGGCAGCGCAAGUCUGGAGUGAAAUGCCGGGGCCCAACCCCGGAACUGCUCGGGAAACUGUGAAGCUGGAGUGCAGGAGAGGUAAGCGGACUUCCUGUUGUAGCGGUGAACUGCGUAGCUAUCAGGAG
rnacentral:rRNA from 1 species